rnacentral:misc_RNA from 1 species
UUUCCGUAGGUGAACCUGCGGAAGGAUCAUUAAAAAAUUGGACUCCAUUGGUGAGUUCAUUAAUAAUCCCUACCCUUUGUGAAUUUGUUUGUUUGAAUAAUUUUUUUCCAAAAAAAAAUUAUUGAAUGUCUUUCCCUGUUUUGGUGGAGCUUGUAAAGUGAAACCAGGCAGGGGAAUGGCAAACAAUAAUUAUUUUUGAAAAAGACCUUUUUUUAAAAUUAAACUUUUUGUAUUCAUUUGUCUAAAAUUAUUUUUAUAAUAUAAAAACAACUUUUGACAAUGGAUCUCUUGGUUCUCGCAACGAUGAAGAACGCAGCAAAAUGCGAUAAGUAGUGUGAAUUGCAGAAUACGUGAAUCAUCGAAUCUUCGAACGCAUAUUGCACUUUUUUAGUUUACUAAAAAAGUAUGUCUGUUUGAGUAUCAGUAAAAUAUUCUCAUAAAAAACAUUGUUUUUUUAUGGUUAUGAGUGUUUUACAACGAUAACAAGUUGUUUCACUUUAAAUUCUUUGUUAUCAAAAAAAUCAUUAAAAGCUAAUUUUAAAGAUUUUUUAAAAUUGGAUAAAAUUUUCCCGUAAAAAGGAAUAACCUAGACAAUUUUAAAAAAUUAAAAUUGGUUUGAUUUUUUUUGAAACCCAAAGGAAAAAAAAACGAAAUUAACUUGAUCUCAAAUCAGAUAAGAGUACCCGCUGAACUUAAGCAUAUCAAUAAGCGGAGGAAAAGAAACUAACUAGGAUUCCCUCAGUAACGGCGAGUGAAGCGGGAAGAGCUCAAAUUUGAAAUCUUCAAGGUUUUACCUUGACGAAUUGUAGUUUAAAGAAGUGUUUUCUGUUGGAGUUUUGGUAAAAGUUCUUUGGAAAAGGACAUCAUAGAGGGUGAGAAUCCCGUAUUUGACCAUUAUCUCCAGCUUUGUGAUACACUUUCAAAGAGUCGGAUUGUUUGGGAAUGCAGUCCAAAAUGGGUGGUAAAUUUCAUCUAAAGCUAAAUACCGGCGAGAGACCGAUAGCGAACAAGUACCGUGAGGGAAAGAUGAAAAGAACUUUGAAAAGAGAGUUAAACAGUACGUGAAAUUGUCAAAAGGGAAGCGUUUGACACCAGUGUUGUUUUCUCGAAAAUCAAUUAAAAAAGGCCGGAUUUUGUGUUGUAUUGACUUUAUCAGCUUUCUGCACUUUUUUCUUGUCUUUUUUAAUGCACUUUUCGUUUAACAAGUCAACAUCAAUUUCUUUUGUUGUAAAAGGGUCAUUGGAAGGUGGCUUUCUUUUCGGAGAAAGUGUUUAUAGCCUUUGGCCUCUGCAAUCGGAGAGAUUGAGGUCUGCAGCGUAGAUCCUUCGGGGUUAGAUACAUUUGUGCUAAGUUAUAGCCUUUCAUAGACAACUUGUUGACUAUGAUCAGUCAUGUAGCUUACUCGCUUAUGCUAUCU